UUUUUUUUUUAUAUGGACUCAAAACUGCAGUACUGGCAGAAACGUGUCAUUGUGAUUCCACAAAUCAUCCACCAGCUGAACAUCGGCAAGAGAAAUGAUAACAAUUUUUUCCAUUCCAGAAGCUGGCUUAAUUUUUAACUCAUCGACUCAUGGUUUAGGCUAAAGAGAGACAGCUGCGGCUACUGGGCAUGCGCACAUCAAUAUAGCGUAAUAUAUUGACUGCACAACAAUAAUUACACUUUUCGCAUUAUUGUACGGGUUAGGUUUAGGGUUGGGGUAGAGUAGACGUCAAUAAAACACAAUAUAAAAGGUUGAAAAUUAAAUGUCAUUGUUAGUUUCCGGUCGGAGCUGUACUGACUGCAAACACAUCUUCCACAGAUGGGAGUCAUCUGCUGUGCCUUUAAAUCCAUGUCCAUGUCAAUUGUGAGAAAUCUCCGCCUGUAACUAUAAACUAAAUAAAAUCUCUUAACUAAAUCUUAGAAAAAAAUAAAUAAAUAACCACAAUCUCAAGCGCUCCAAAGCUCUGAAUUCCUCCCACUGAGAGAGAGAUGAUGCAUGAGGGAUAUUCGGGUGUAGCACUUCCAGCUCAUGAUUAUAUAUGACCACUGACACAGAAACAUUCGCUAUUUCUGGUGGCAAAAAAGAGGACGAGAUGCAAUCUAAUAAAUCAAGAGAGAAAAAGAUGCUGAGAAAAGUCAGAUGGAGCAGUAUUAAUAGCGGCAGACCAAACUUUUCUCAUGAUCCAGACACACCUGAAGAGAUUCAUUCUGAUGAUUCAGAAAGCUGUGGUUCCUUUUGUCCAACCAGCAGAAUAUUCAUCAAAUUCAGUCCCUGAUUAAACAGUCAUAUCUUAGUUAUUGAUAUGCAUAGUUAGGACAGGCAGUAGUAGAAGAAUGUGUUGUUUUUUCAUAUAGUCAUGUUUCCAUAUAAAUGAAACUUUACAGUAUGUUACUGCACUGUAUGAUACUCUGUAUACAUUUAAGACACUGACGGUAAUUAUUUAUGUAUAUAAUGUAAUAUAAAAAUGGAAAAUUAACUGUAAUGAAAUAAUUUUUUAGACUGAAUUUCACCGUAAUAAAUGGUAUAUAAAAGGAAUAAUUCUGGCUGACACUUCUUGUAAAAAUCAAUCUGAAUAAUAUUUCUGUUUACGUAAACUUGUUGUGUUUAGUUUGAUGUCGUAGGCUGCUUUCGUUUUUAUGACCAAAGUUCAGUGAGGAAAAUGUGUUUUGUUCAUAAUUUUAGACCCAAAUGAUCACAG